GUUUUGUUUAAUUAAGAGGAAAAUUAAGCACGAUAUUUCAAUCAUUCGUAACAGUUUCCGAGUUUUAAACUUAUUUCUGUGGUGCAUGAUAAUUUAAAAGGAAAAAGUUGUGAGAAACUUUUCUUGGUGUCUAAAGUUAAUAUACCGAAAGAUACAGAAUUGGUUUUGGACUAUGGAUAGACCAAGAGAGAUAGGAUUCUAGGAAACCCUUGAAUGACCGGAUAACUCUGUCGCUUCU
rnacentral:lncRNA from 1 species